GAGUGAUCCAAGCAGAGAUGGGGCGUCACUUCAGAGGAAAGAAGCGUUUGUGUGUGUCAGCGACACAGAGAGCUUGGUGAAGAAUGAGUUAGCACAGCUGGCCGAUAUGCACUUCCCGAACCAUCUCGGGGACAGUAGAUGAAAAAUGAGGAGGAGAAAUUUUCUUUAUCUGUCAGGAUGACUAAAGGUGUCGAGACCUCAUCCCCUAAAGACCUCUGUCUAUGAGGAUGGAAGCCCUCACAGGACACCACAUCUGCUGCUGCCUUGAUCUAAGACUUCCCUGCCUCCAGAACUGUGAUCAAUAAAUUUCUAUUUGCAGUCAGACUGAUUCAGAUGUUUUCCUCAUACCUCUAAUAAAUUUCUGUUGUUGGUAAGUUUUCCAGUCUUAGGUAUUUUGUUGGAGGAACCUGAAUGCCCUGACAUACACCAAGCUCCAGAGACCCUACUGGGGUUUGACCUUUGUUCGAAGAGUGAU
rnacentral:lncRNA from 1 species